AUGGCCAGGCGAUGGCUCACGUCGGACGCGAGCGCGCCCCCUCCGUCGCAGCAUUCUGGGUGGGACGUGAACCGGUCGGCCGUGAAGGUUGCCAUCGUCGGCAACGUGGUCGUCGUGCUGCUCUUCUUCGUCGCCAUCGUCUGGCGCCUCUUCUUCUCGGGGAGAGCUCAAGAAGGCGCCGGCGGCGGUGGGGCGGUCAUUGCGCCCUCCUCCGGGGAGAGCUCGCCGUGCGCGUCGCCUCGGGCUAAAGGGCUCAGGAAGGAGGACCUCAUGUCGCUGCCGGUGUACGUCCACCGCGCCUCGGCGGAGGACGGCGGCAAGGUGGAGUGCGCGGUGUGCAUCUGCGAGCUCAGAGACGGCGACACCGGCCGGCGGCUGCCGAGGUGCGGGCACCGCUUCCACGCCGAGUGUGUCGACAGGUGGUUCCGCUCGCACGCUACGUGUCCACUCUGCCGCGCUCUUGUGGCGGACGGCGGCUGA
rnacentral:rRNA from 1 species